rnacentral:rRNA from 1 species
UGCGAAAGCGUGGGUAGCAAACAGGAUUAGAUACCCUGGUAGUCCACGCCGUAAACGCUGUCUACUUGGAGGUUGAGGUUUUAGACUUUGGCUUUCGGCGCUAACGCAUUAAGUAGACCGCCUGGGGAGUACGGCCGCAAGGUUAAAACUCAAAUGAAUUGACGGGGGCCCGCACAAGCGGUGGAGCAUGUGGUUUAAUUCGAUGCAACGCGAAGAACCCUACCUACUCUUGACAUCCAGCGAAGCCUUUAGAGAUAGAGGCGUGCCUUCGGGAGCGCUGAGACAGGUGCUGCAUGGCUGUCGUCAGCUCGUGUUGUGAAAUGUUGGGUUAAGUCCCGCAACGAGCGCAACCCUUAUCCUUGUUUGCCAGCACGUAAUGGUGGGAACUCCAGGGAGACUGCCGGUGAUAAACCGGGGGAAGGUGGGGACGACGUCAAGUCAUCAUGGCCCUUACGAGUAGGGCUACACACGUGCUACAAUGGCAGAUACAGAGGGCAGCGAGACAGCGAUGUUUAGCGAAUCCCUUAAAGUUUGUCGUAGUCCGGAUUGGAGUCUGCAACUCGACUCCAUGAAGUCGGAAUCGCUAGUAAUCGUGGAUCAGAAUGCCACGGUGAAUACGUUCCCGGGCCUUGUACACACCGCCCGU